UUAGCAAAAUAUAGCACCUAAACUUGAAAUAGAAAUACAAAUCUAAAAUAUUUCAAAUAUGUAAAAAAACAGCAGUAUAAAAUUUCAUAUUUGAAACCUGAGUUGUAAAAAACAAAUUUAUACCUUACUUUGUCAUCUUAUAUCUGAAUCUUGUAAUAAUUAGUAAAUGCUAUAGAAACUUCUUGAAGAAAUAUUUGUUGUGUCUUAUGUUUGCAAGACGUAAUUAUCAAACAUUAACAAAAGAAUUAUACUCUUUCAUAAGGUCUUGUAAUUAAAGUGUAUUGGCUUUGGCCUUCUUGUUGGAUUUCUUUAGGUGCAGUAAUAAAGUUUCACAAUAUGAAUAAAUGAGUUAAAAUUGUAGGUUGUUAAUUCUCAGAGAAGGGGACAUGUAAAAAGUGAUUGUAUAAAGUUGAAACGAAAAUAAUAAGGAAAUGUAAACAAAAAUAAUGUGAAUUAUGUCAUAGAGUACUGAGAAAUUUGAUUUGAUACAUCAAAGAGAAUGUUUAAGAUUUAAUUUGACUGAAUAUAUCAGAGUAUUGGAGGAGGAGGAGAUGACCCAUACAUUUAGGAGAUUGAAAGACUCAAGAUUACUAUAAGAGUGUAUAUUUGAGUGGUUGCAUAAAGUAAUUUGAAUUGUAUUGAUGGUAUCUAAUUGUAUGAAACAAUACCCAAUAUGCUUUUUUUUUGAUUCAAUAAUUAUUAAUCCUUUCAGAAAAUAUAAGCAGGUACUUUAGUCGACAAAGUGAUUGAUAGG